rnacentral:rRNA from 1 species
GACGAACGCUGGCGGCGUGCUUAAUACAUGCAAGUCGAACGGAAAGGCUCUGCUUUUGUGGUGUGCUCGAGUGGCGAACGGGUGAGUAACACGUGAGUAACCUGCCCUUGACUUUGGGAUAACUUUACUAAACUCGGGCUCAUACCGGAUAGGAGCUCCUGCUGCAUGUUGGGGGUUGGAAAGCUUCGGCGGUGGUGGAUGGUCUCGCGGCUUAUUAGCUUGUUGGUGGGGUAGUGGCUUACCAAGGCUUCGACGGGUAGCCGGCCUGAGAGGGGGACCGGGCAAAAUGGGACGGAGAUAGGGCCCAGAAUACAACGGGAGGCAGCGGGGGAGAAUAGAACAGAAGGGACGGGAGCCAGGUGCGACAGCGCCACGUGCGGGAUAACGGGCUUCGGGUUGGGAACCGAUUUCGCCUGGGAAGAAGCGAGAGUGACGGUAAUGGGUAAAAAAGCACCGGCUAAAUACGUG